UGAGUUUGCUUCUCGUCAGGAUUUAGGCUUGUUUAUUUUAACAAAUCUUUGGGAUGGGAUUAUGCUGCAGAGCUAGCUUGUUUGUGCUAGUUGACCACUUGAGCAAGUGAGGUGGGUGAUACUCUACCCGUCCCAAAAUAGACGGCAUGUUUUUUUGCACGGUCUUUUGAUGCACAACUUUAACCACUAAUAUUUCGUAUAUUUAUUAAAAAAAAAUUGACAUACUAUACAUAUAAAUCGAGAUCAAAGUUAUGAGUUUGUUGACCAGCGAAAUUUAAGGGCCCUUAUAUUUUGGGACAGAGGGGGUUACAGUUAAGCUAGGAUACUGAACCUCAGUAAGCCACCAUUUUUACUGUUUAGUUAUACAGACUUGUGGUAGCAAUCACGACGAAGUAAUUUAAACUCAUUUCCCGGCAGCACAUAUAGUAAGUAUUAGGGAUUAUGAACUUAUGUUGUUCCUAUUCCAUAUUUCUUUAUG